rnacentral:ncRNA from 1 species
ACGCGAGAAUGGCAAACUUGAUGAAAAUCAAGGACGCAAAGUCAUGGGCCAAAAGUCUUAAACCCAUACAUAAGAUCAUGGCAGCCGGGCUGCAUUC